UCAGCAGCAACAAACUGGGACAGGCUGAGUUUGAAAUUCCAAUCCAAAACUACACAGAGAACGUACCGCUGAACUAUCAGAAGGAUUGGAAGCAAAAGUUCAAAGCAGUACAUCCCUGGAUAACAACUUUAUCUUUCAUUCUGAACCUGAUCCUCGCCAGUCUGAUCAUCAUCACAUACCGAAGGCACAAACGUGUACAGAAGAAACUUUGUGAGGAGAUGAACACCUACGCUUUGCUGAACAAGGCAGAGGUUGAACAAGAGUAUAAUGUUAUUUCUCCACAAUGCAGAUGAAUAAUGGGAACCAUGCUUUUGUUCUUCUUUCACAGAUUAAAUUGUUUUUAAUAGACCUGUUAAUUUCUGUAUUCAAAUGCUGAAACAUUUGAGCUGCAUACUGAUUUCAUUUAAAUGUGUAAUUCUAUGUCAUACUUUUGUUUUCUUUGGAUAAGUGCAAACUAUACAGGAAUCUUCAACUGGAAUGUUUAAGAUUAAAGCUAUAAAAGUAUGUAA